rnacentral:rRNA from 1 species
UACGUAGGUGGCAAGCGUUGUCCGGAUUUAUUGGGUUUAAAGGGUGCGUAGGCGGCCUUGUAAGUCAGUGCUGAAAUACCCCGGCUUAACCGGGGGGGUGGCAUUGAUACUGCAGGGCUUGAGUACAGAUGAGGUAGGCGGAAUUGACGGUGUAGCGGUGAAAUGCAUAGAUAUCAAGAGGAACACCUGAGGUGAAGACGGGUUGCUGGGCUGACACUGACGCUGAGGCGCGAAAGCCAGGGGAGCAAACGGG